UUAAAGACGACGCAGAGAAUAGGACUUCUGAACCUGACAGCGGAGAAUGGCUCAAGCAUCUGGUAAAUUACCUAUAUCUUUAAAGCUAAAUUUUAUGCGUUUAAACCUUUAGGCAGAAACAUAGGGAAAUUUUCAUUCUUUGCAGUGACUCUAAACGGAGGGGUGAACCUUCAAGCAGAGGAGUCUGAUUCAUCAACUGAUACCUCAACAUCCGAGACCUCGUCUGAUACUGACUCCUCAUCUGUGCUUUCAGAGGCAGUACCCGAUCUGUGGGGCGAAUUGGACCAAUAUUUCCAAGAAGGGUUAUCGCCAUCAUCACAGCCACAGGAUGACGCAACGGGGCAUACCUCAGACAGUCAAAACAUUAUACAUUCUUUAGAGGCUGCCCGGUUAACCGGAAGAGAUCCAGCUGAUGUGAUACCGCAUCAGAAUUUUGAAGAUCAACCGCCACCGGGAGUCUG